AAGUCGUAACAAGGUUUCCGUAGGUGAACCUGCGGAAGGAUCAUUACAGUGUUCCCUGCCCUUCGGGGUAGGAUCGCCACCCUUGAUUAUUUAUGAGUGUUGCUUUGGCGGGCCUCGCGGCCUGGCCGCGCCCCGGCUUCGGCGGGGGAGCGCCCGCCAGAGGAUUCUACAAACCUGAUUAUUAGUGUCGUCUGAGUACUAUAUAAUAGUUAAAA
rnacentral:misc_RNA from 1 species